GAUCGCAGAACCAUCAGAUGGGUUGGGGGUUGGGUUGGGAGGGUCAUCAAAGGUCACAGGACCAUGGGACCAUACAAUGGGUUGGGUUGGAAGGGUCCUUAAUGAUCACAGGACCAUGAGAUGGGUUGGAGUUGGGUUGGGAGGGUCCUUAAAGGUCACAGGACCAGGAGAUGGGUUGGGGUUGGGUUGGGAGGGUCCUUAAAGAUCACAGAACCAUCAGAUGGGUUGGAGUUGGGUUGGAAGGGUCCUUAAAGAUCACCGAACCGCGAGAUCGCAGCACCGCUGGUUUGAAAGGGAGCUCAGAACCCCUCGCAGCCCUGGGCGCCUCCGGGGCCGGGCGCCGUUUUGGGGCUUUUCCCUCUGGGGAGCA